GGAACCUGUACGCUCAUCGUGGACUGAGAUACGCCGGACCUUUUUAUGUUUGAUGAGGUGACCCUGGCAAACAGUAACCGUAAGUGUUUUCAUAUGAACUGUUAUUUAUGUUUGAAGUUUUUCGUGUGUAAUAUUAAAUGGACAUCCCAACCUCAAGUGAUGUCGUGUUUAUCCUUUGCAAGAAUGCGCAAUGUCAGACUGCCGAAUGCAGGUACGUGACAAACUGAUAUUAGCAAAGUUAGACGGCAAUGGAGCAAAAAUUGACAAAGCCACUGCAACUAUUGAAAGAAUGGAAUCUACAAAGCUCGUGUUGCAACAGGAAUUUGACAGAUUGAAAAGGCAAGUGACAGAAUUGAGAAAGCAGCAGGAGGCAGCACAAGCGGACAUAGAAGUUGCUAAUAUUAAAGCUCUGAAGGCUGAAAACAUAAGCAAUACCGCAGGAAUUGCAACAUUAGAAUUUAUUAUGCCAUGGAACCGGAAGGUGAAACGAUCAGAGAGUGCCAGGAAACUGUUCUAAAACUUUUCCGUGAAAAACUGGGAGUAAAACAAAUAACAGAAAGAGACUUGGAUGCGGUCCAUCGACUAGGGAGAAGGUUACAGCAGAACCAGCCAUGACCGAUCAUUGUCCGCUUUGUGUCAAGAAAGACACGAGAAGAAAUAAUUAAGAACAGAAAGAAACUGAAGGCACAGCCAGGACAGAGUUCGGUGGUCAUUGUGGAAAACCUCACCAAAGAUAAUUACUUUCUUUAUCAGCGGGCCCGGCACACAGAAACAGGCAAGCAGUGUUGGACAAAGAUGGGCAAAAUCUUUGUGAAGACUUGCUCUGGAGUUACCAAGCAGAUCAGGAUUCUCUCUAAUCUCAACAACGACAAGCCAGAACAGAACUUCACAAUAGAGAGACAGCACCUCCAGCACCACCAGCCUGAACUGACUGACCAGAAGGAAAGAUCUAUCAGAUUACAACAAAAGGGUACGGCAAGGACUACUAAAGGUCAAGGCGAGGGCUGCACAAGGGGCGGUGUCAAAAGUCGUGUGACAUGUCUCAGAGCAGAGUGGGCAGUCAGAGUGACAUGAGUGACAGCGAAUGGAUCACUCAAGGCGAAAGUGAAGACGACGAGGCAUUCGGAUUCCAAUAAUUUAAAUGUGUAGGGUGUGUAUUUACGUUUAGAAUGUAAAUUUUUUAUCCUUUAUGCGACAAUCUUUUCACCGAAAGGAUGUACUCACCAUUUUUAUAUGACCCCACUUCACAAGCAACAGAGUGACAAGACUUGUUCAACAACCGGGACAGAAGUGUUUUCAAAAUACUCCAUACCAGGUUAUUCACAAUAAACCGUCUUAUUCAAGUGACAGAGGGAUUUGUGCAGGGCUUUUCUUGUGGAAAACCUGAUGCGGCCCAGCCUCAUCCAGACUCUGCCUCCAGUGGCCCCCGACCAAAAUGAAAACAUACGCUGUGAUUUCCGGACCUUCGUGGCAAAUGCUGCAAGAAAAACUUGUCCUCAAGCGAUGGAAGCAGAAGUGCAGACAAAGAUCUCUACCUGGUUAACUGGUGCCAGGGAUCAUGAAAAUGGAAGAAGAGAAUGGGCAGCCUUGAGCACAGACUCAUUAAAUAGUUCUGGGGUUGGGAACAUACGCUGUGAAUGAUUUUCGAAGUGACUGCGAACUUGAAACGGCCAUGGUGCCAACUUUGUGGCUAAAUCUUGCCAAUAAAACAUGCUACUGGCCUAAACAUUCCAGAGCAGUUAUAAAAUGCAUUAAACCAGAAGAAUCGUGGAGUAUGUUCCCAUUUGUGGGAAUAAAGAAUGAAUCAGGUGAGUUCUUUCAUGUGCUCAUAUUUUGUUAAAUAAUUAAUAAAUAUUUGGCACAUGUGUAACAUAUUAUGAUUAUAACUUUGCUUAUGAUAUUUUGUUUAGACAACUAUCCCAAAGCAGCAGAAAAAAUUAAGCAGCUCAUGAAUGAGGUUGCAGAUGCUGCUAGCACAUCCAAAAAUGAAGAAUGCCUGCAGUGCAGCAAGCGCAGGGUUAGACGUCACUGAACGUAUCUGUCAGCUGUUGCCAGUUCUGACCCUGUACUAUGCAGGUCUAGUGACAGAAGCAGAAUCCACAAAAUACAGAAUGCUGUUUGCAAGCAUCACCGAAGGGGCUUCCCAAAAGAAAAAAAGCACGGAUUUCAGAGCUCAUGCUUCAGCUGCGAAAACAGUCAAAGACCAAAGCUGGAGAUAAUCACGUGGUCUGAACCAAUUUCCCUACAUGAGAGGGCCAGAAAGGGUGAAGUCAUCAUACAUGGAAUUCCCCCAUUCUGCCCUGCAGCCCCCUGGAAGGCUGGCCACGAAGGAACUCAUACAAACGCUUAUGAGUGGCCUAACAAAUGAUGUCAGCAACACCAAAAAGAAGUCUAUAUGGACCACUGUCACAGAAAAAGUGUCAGCAGUGGGUGGCUUGGAAAUCCGGACUGCUCAAAAUGUUUGAGAGAAUAUCUGUGAAUAUCUAAUCCUGUCACAUACUACUUUAAUCAGAAUUCUACUUCUAAGUGAACGAACACCUCAAACACUAGUUCAAAAUAGCUGCACAUGUGAAAUACUCAGUGUUGUCCAUAGGAAUGUUAUUACCAUGGGAAACUUUGCAUGGGAUGGGACAGCACACAUUUGUAUUUCCGAUGGUAAUCGAUACUUGAUAUUGUAAAAUAAAUUUACGCUGAAAUUUGCAGUUGCGUAAGUGCAACAAAACAUAAUUCAUUCAUCAUCUGCAUGGUGCUUGAGAAGGAUUUCAAGUCUAAAGAAUAAUUUAGGCUUUCCUAGGUUUUCUCAAUUUAACGAGCGGUAACACUGCCAGACUGGCACAUUGCGCAUGUAAGAUGAAAAUUGUGGAAAUGGUUCGGGGAUUACCUGGAUUAACUGAUUUAUUAGAAACGGUCAAUGAGCAGGAAAUUGAGUGUCAGAAUGAUACCGAAUUGUCAUACUUAGAUUAUACUUUUGAGUGUUAAAGUUAAUAAAUUUUGUCGUUUUGCAUGUCUCUUUGUACAUGUAGUCCUAUUUAGUAGACACUAUACCUAAACGUUCAUAAACUUAAUGAUUUUAUUCGAACUGUAUUCCUUAUUAAUAUUAUAUAAUGGAAAUCCUGUGGGAUGGGAUAGGCAUAAAUUGCCAUAGGAUGGGAUGGGAUAGAAAAUAUGCCCCAUGGACAACCCUGGAAAUACUGUCCUAGAAGAGUAUAAGAAUUUAAUAGCCAAGUGACAAAACUAAGAACAUGUCUUUGCGAUGAUGGCCAGGUAUAGCUCUAACACUACAUGCACUGCUGAAGCCAUAUUUGCAUUAAAAAAAAAAACCAAACAUAUCUGGCAUCCAUGCUUGUAUGCAUGCAUAAUCUUGCAUACGCCUACGUCAGUGCCACCAUUGAAACAUGCAUGCACAGACACCAACAGUACAUAUAUUGCUGACAGAGACCAAGGUGAUGCACUGAAGAUUAGUCAUGAUGUGUUUAAGCAGAGUUGAGAAAGUCCAAAAGACCUCGAACACUUCUAAAAACACCACAACUGCAGUAAAAUCUGUUGGCUCAGAUUCUUACUACCAUUUUGGGAUUUGGAGUAAACUAAUAGAUGUUGUUGCAGGAUUGGAUUUGAAUUUAAGCAGUUGCCACAUGCAGCUACAUAUUAAUGUUGAUGGCGUACCACUUUGAAAAUCACCAGGAACUCAGUUUUGGCCUAUACUUGGCCGUGUUUCAGUUCCAUUUGUUACCGACCUUUUUGUUAUUGGUAUUUAUUAUGGCAAAGAAAAACCAAACAAUGUUAACGAGUAUUAUCUGAUUUUGUGAAGGAAAUGUGCAUGCUGCAAAAAGGGUCUCAUUAUCUUCCAUGAGUUCUAGAAAAAGUGACGAUAGCCAUAUAUGUGUUAUUUGUUAUACUCCGGCACGGCUUUUGUCAAGCAGGUUAAAGGUCAUACAGGCUAUUAUGGAUGUGAUAAAUGCACUCAGAAGGGUAUGUGGGAAGGUAAAACGACUUUUCCUGAAAUGAAUUCACCAUUGCACACUGAUGCUCAUUUAGAUGAGAUGGUACAGUCAUCGCAUCAUGUCGGAAAUAGUUAGCCAGUUCCCCCUUGAUUAUAUGCACCUUGUUUGUUUAGGGGUAACUAGACGACUGCUCUGGUACUGGAUACACAGCCAUAUAUCUAAAGGAUUUCGACUUGGUCAGCACAGCAUUUCUGAAAUGUGCACUUCUUGUUGUUAAAGAACAUCUACCAGAUGACUAUCGCAAAGCUGCAGAGAAAAUUAAGCAGCUUAUGAAUGGGUUUUCGGAUGUUGCGAGCACCUCCGAACAUGAAAGGGUCUGCACCAGAGGAGGGUGACUUGAAAAAAAAAUAAAAUAAAAAAAAAUAAAUAAAUCUGAUACAUAUUUUAAUAUGUACACUAGCUGCUGCUUAAUUUGAUUCAAUAAAUUUUAAAUCAAUUUUAAAACUGUAGUCAUGGUAUUGAAACUUGUGCCCGUUUGUUUUCUUCUAAAUUUUUUGUUCAAUUUUAGACACUAGUCUUUAUCCGAGUCAGAUGGAGAAGCGCUUAGUGCCAGCACUACUGAAAGGUAUCAGUUGUUCAGAAAAGUUGUUCGGUAUCUGAAAUAUUCAUCAUCCGAAACAAUUUUCCCCACAAGAAAAAAAGGAAAGAGAUUUAAUUGGUUCCCAGCCCCUGUUGACUCGCUAAUAUUUGAAAGUUACAGGCUCCAUAGGUAUUUUUCUUUUAGUGAA
rnacentral:lncRNA from 1 species